rnacentral:rRNA from 1 species
AGUAACGGCGAGUGAAGCGGCAACAGCUCAAAUUUGAAAUCUGGCCCCCAGGGCCCGAGUUGUAAUUUGCAGAGGAUGCUUUUGGCGCGGUGCCUUCCGAGUUCCCUGGAACGGGACGCCAUAGAGGGUGAGAGCCCCGUCUGGUCGGACACCAAGCCAGUGUAAAGCUCCUUCGACGAGUCGAGUAGUUUGGGAAUGCUGCUCUAAAUGGGAGGUAUAUGUCUUCUAAAGCUAAAUACCGGCCAGAGACCGAUAGCGCACAAGUAGAGUGAUCGAAAGAUGAAAAGCACUUUGAAAAGAGGGUUAAACAGUACGUGAAAUUGUUGAAAGGGAAGCGUUUAUGACCAGACUUGGGCCCGGUGAAUCAUCCAGCGUUCUCGCUGGUGCACUUUGCCGGGCUCAGGCCAGCAUCAGUUCGUCGCGGGGGAUAAAAGCUUCGGGAACGUGGCUCCCUCGGGAGUGUUAUAGCCCGUUGCAUAAUACCCUGCGGUGGACUGAGGUUCGCGCUCCGCAAGGAUGCUGGCGUAAUGGUCAUCAGCGACCCGUCUUGAAACACGGACCAAGGAGUCGUCUUCGUAUGCGAGUGUUCGGGUGUCAAACCCCUACGCGUAAUGAAAGUGAACGCAGGUGAGAGCUUCGGCGCAUCAUCGACCGAUCCUGAUGUUCUCGGAUGGAUUUGAGUAAGAGCAUACGGGGCCGGACCCGAAAGAAGGUGAACUAUGCCUGUAUAGGGUGAAGCCAGAGGAAACUCUGGUGGAGGCUCGCAGCGGUUCUGACGUGCAAAUCGAUCGUCAAAUAUGGGCAUG